AGUGAACGCUGGCGGUAGGCCUAACACAUGCAAGUCGAACGGCAGCACAGGAGAGCUUGCUCUCUGGGUGGCGAGUGGCGGACGGGUGAGGAAUACAUCGGAAUCUACUUUUUCGUGGGGGAUAACGUAGGGAAACUUACGCUAAUACCGCAUACGACCUACGGGUGAAAGCAGGGGACCUUCGGGCCUUGCGCGAUUGAAUGAGCCGAUGUCGGAUUAGCUAGUUGGCGGGGUAAAGGCCCACCAAGGCGACGAUCCGUAGCUGGUCUGAGAGGAUGAUCAGCCACACUGGAACUGAGACACGGUCCAGACUCCUACGGGAGGCAGCAGUGGGGAAUAUUGGACAAUGGGCGCAAGCCUGAUCCAGCCAUACCGCGUGGGUGAAGAGGGCCUUCGGGUUGUAAAGUCCUUUUGUUGGGAAAGAAAUCCAGCCGGUUAAUACCUGGUUGGGAUGACGGUACCCAAAGAAUAAGCACCGGCUAACUUCGUGCCAGCCGCCGCGGUAACAC
rnacentral:rRNA from 1 species